rnacentral:rRNA from 1 species
UACGGGGGGGGCAAGCGUUGCUCGGAAUCACUGGGCGUAAAGCGCACGUAGGCGGAUUGUUAAGUCAGGGGUGAAAUCCUGGAGCUCAACUCCAGAACUGCCUUUGAUACUGGCGAUCUCGAGUCCGGGAGAGGUGAGUGGAACUGCGAGUGUAGAGGUGAAAUUCGUAGAUAUUCGCAAGAACACCAGUGGCGAAGGCGGCUCACUGGCCCGGUACUGACGCUGAGGUGCGAAAGCGUGGGGAGCGAACAGG